rnacentral:rRNA from 1 species
UACGUAGGGUGCGAGCGUUGUCCGGAAUUAUUGGGCGUAAAGAGCUCGUAGGCGGCUUGUCGCGUCGUCCGUGAAAACCUGCAGCUCAACUGCAGGCUUGCGGUCGAUACGGGCAGGCUAGAGUUCGGUAGGGGAGACUGGAAUUCCUGGUGUAGCGGUGAGAUGCGCAGAUAUCAGGAGGAACACCGGUGGCGAAGGCGGGUCUCUGGGCCGAUACUGACGCUGAGGAGCGAAAGCGUGGGGAGCGAACAGG